rnacentral:rRNA from 1 species
UACGAAGGGGGCUAGCGUUGCUCGGAAUCACUGGGCGUAAAGCGCACGUAGGCGGCUUUCUAAGUCAGGGGUGAAAUCCUGGAGCUCAACUCCAGAACUGCCUUUGAUACUGGAGAGCUUGAGUCCGGAAGAGGUGAGUGGAACUCCGAGUGUAGAGGUGAAAUUCGUAGAUAUUCGGAAGAACACCAGUGGCGAAGGCGGCUCACUGGUCCGGUACUGACGCUGAUGUGCGAAAGCGUGGGGAGCAAAGCAGG